rnacentral:rRNA from 1 species
AGUGAACGCUGGCGGUAGGCCUAACACAUGCAAGUCGAACGGCAGCACAGUAAGAUCUUGCUCUUACGGGUGGCGAGUGGCGGACGGGUGAGGAAUACAUCGGAAUCUACUUUUUCGUGGGGGAUAACGUAGGGAAACUUACGCUAAUACCGCAUACGACCUACGGGUGAAAGCAGGGGAUCUUCGGACCUUGCGCGAUUGAAUGAGCCGAUGUCGGAUUAGCUAGUUGGCGGGGUAAAGGCCCACCAAGGCGACGAUCCGUAGCUGGUCUGAGAGGAUGAUCAGCCACACUGGAACUGAGACACGGUCCAGACUCCUACGGGAGGCAGCAGUGGGGAAUAUUGGACAAUGGGCGCAAGCCUGAUCCAGCAAUACCGCGUGGGUGAAGAAGGCCUUCGGGUUGUAAAGCCCUUUUGUUGGGAAAGAAAAGCAGCAGGUUAAUCCCCCGCUGUUCUGACGGUACCCAACGAAUAAGCACCGGCUAACUUCGUG